rnacentral:tRNA from 1 species
AAAAAUUUAGUUAAUACAUAACAUUAGCUUGUCAAGCUAAAAUAAUCCUACAGAUAAUUUUUA